GACAGCUACAUAAGAAAAUGAUUUUUGGAAAGCCGCAGUUCUGUGACGCGGAAGAAGAAAUGUUCCAGUGUUCCGUGUAGUAUGUAUUCUAGACAAAUCUGAAAAUUUUUCAUUUAAAUAUGGAGGUUUCCCAGUCUUAACAAUUUUGUAUAUAAAAUUAUACAUAUGUUGCCUCCUUCGAUAAACCAUUUUGAGGAUGUUAUGUUGAUUAAGGUAAGGUGUUAUAUGGCGAUUAUACGGAAUUCUAUAUGAAAAUCUUACACAACUAUUUUGGAUUUUUUGGAUUGACUUUUUAAGUAACCAAGAUAUAGAGUCGCCAUAAACAACGUCACCAUAAUCAAACAGGGACAAGACAAGAGUAUUGCAAAGAUAAUAUUUUUGUUUAGAUGUUAAGUAUAUUUUUUAUUUAUAUAAAUUUUUUAAUCUGAGAUAUCCUGCAGUUAACUUUUUCUUUACAUGUUUUUGGAAAGAAAGUUCAUUAUCAAAGAUAAUACCCAAAUUUUUUGCAUGUUUUACAAUGGGGAUUGGAUUGUUAUUAAUGUUAAUUUGUAAUGUAUUUUCGAUAAGCUCUCUGGCAUUUUUAUUUUUAUUUAUAAUUAUUAUUUGCGAUUUGGAUGCAUUUAAUUGUAAAUUGUGAUUUUCUGCAUAUGAAGAUAUACAUUUAAGGUCCGCAUUUAAUUUAUUUUGAGUGUCUAUUAUAGUGUGUCUAUUUAUAGGUAUUUUUAACUGGGAGUCAUCAGCAAACUGCUUAAAUUUGCAGAAUUUAAUGCAGUUUUUCAUGUCAGCAACAUAAAUGGAAAAUAACAGAGGUGAAAUUACCGAACCUUGUGGGACGCCAUUUUUAACUAAUUUAAAUUCUGACUUAUCAACACUUGAGUUUUUUUAACAAGAACACAACUAAAUCUAUUCGCCAGUAUGUUUUGCAUGAGAUUGACUGCACUGUUGGAAAAGCCAAAGUAAUGAAGUUUGGCCAACAGCAUCUCGUGACCAAUAGUAUCAAAUGCUUUACUAAAAUCCAAAAGGGUCAUGCAAGUACUAUUUUGUUUUUCUUCAUUUUCUCUGAUGUCAUUCAAAAUGCUGACAAGUGUU
rnacentral:lncRNA from 1 species